CUACCAUGCAAGUCGCACGAACCUUUCGGGGUUAGUGGCGGACGGGUGAGUAACGCGUUAGGAACCUAUCUGGAGGUGGGGGAUAACAUCGGGAAACUGGUGCUAAUACCGCAUGAUGCCUGAGGGCCAAAGGAGAGAUCCGCCAUUGGAGGGGCCUGCGUUCGAUUAGCUAGUUGGUUGGGUAAAGGCUGACCAAGGCGAUGAUCGAUAGCUGGUUUGAGAGGAUGAUCAGCCACACUGGGACUGAGACACGGCCCAGACUCCUACGGG
rnacentral:rRNA from 1 species